rnacentral:lncRNA from 1 species
AGCAAAUAUAUUUUUUAAGAAACCCUCUGCAAGAAAAACUAUCGAGAAAACAUAAUAAAACAGACAAGUUAAACACACAAAAAAUAGGAAAGGGAAGAAAAGACAAAUUAAGUGUGCGAGAACAAUUUACUAGAGAAGCCAUACUAGAAUCUUAAGAUACAAAGACCAGCAUCCAAACAAGUUCUGCUACAAGGUAGGUAAUUGUUUAAGAAGUUGAAACAUAACAUGGGCUAGCAAAAAACAUUAGUACCCAUGCAUUAAGAUAAACAUCUAAAGCAUCAGUUGAAACAUAACAUGGGCUAACAUCUAAAGCUCUCCAACCAGAUCUAUAUAUUCACAACAUCAUGUCGAUGCAAGCUAAACAAUACUACUUCUCAGCUCUCCAACCUAGCAUUAAGAUAAAUAAUACUCGUGCCAUGGUAAACAAGCUAUCAACUGCAACCAGUUACAAGGAUUAGAAAUCGAUUCCUCAAGCUUUUUACUACUUCUUAGAUGAGUUAAGUCCCCUCUUCAUUCCAAAGCCAACAACUGCAAACUUUGUCCUGCCAUACAAGCCAAAAAGGAUUGGUGCAUAAACAGACAUGUCAAAAUGAUAGGCACCACAAAUGCACAUCAUGAAUGGAUAUAUAAAGGAAGAAGAAACAUAUUGCAGUGACGAACAAAAAAAAUAGUUUGAAAAAAUGAGUAUUAUCAUUACCUCAAAAAUGUUGAUUUACUGAGUGGUUAUAGCAAUCUCAGUUGCACCUGGGGGUGAAUCAAUAUCAUCAUUAUCUACACUUGGAUCCUGAGUAGCAUCAUCAUUUGAUAUUCCAAUACUACAUUUAAACAAAUAGCAAAGUCAAAUUUAAACAAAUACCAAAGGAACCCCUCAAUAAAUUAUUAAAUAAAUUUUAUAAUAAGUAAAUAAGCUUACAGAUUAUUAAAUAAGCCGGAUUUAGUUUAGCUUUUUAUCAAAUGACAAAUCAAUAACCUUGAAAGGGCUUACCAUAAUAUCCUUUUCAAAGAUGAUUCAAUUUUAUAUUAGCACUAACAUGCAAACAAUGACUCUAAAUAAUAUAAUUUGACCAUUUUGGAAUUGACGCAAAAAUAUCCUUCAACUUCUCAACACAAGAGCCAAAACUAAACAUUUUGAAACAGCCAACUUUUCCCAAAAAGGGAAGCCCAAAUAUUUCUUAAACAUGUUAUUCUAUUUUAAACACAAAUUUCAGUCUUAAAAAUUAAACAUUAAGAAGACUAUUGCGUCACCUUUUUAACAUGAAUAAAAGAAGAACUCUGUUUUUCGGACUGAAUUAGUGCCCAUACCUUCCGACCAUUAAUCUUGCUGUUACGGUAGAUUUAUUCUAAAUUAAAUUUAGUUUUGUGGAAAACACCAUUAGACCCAUAGACUUGAAUUGAUUACUAAAACAAGUCAGCCAAUUACUUACUUGUUACGGCUGUUAUAUAACCUCUAGCAUUUUCCCAAGGGAAGGAGGUUUAGAGGUUGAAGAAUAGAGGGCACUAGUAUAGAAGUAUAGAAAUUUACAUUCCACCACUAAAUUUAUUCCUGAUUCUUAAAAAAAAUAAAUAAGAAAAUAGGUCAAAAUUGGGGCUGGAUUUGUUCAAAUUUUGGGCCCAAAUUAAGAGAGGAGAGAAGUUUGGUGUGUUUUGUUUGUGUUAGGACUGAAAUUUUAUGAGAGAUUCACAAAAUUGGAACAAAUAUAAACCCAAGAUUCAUACCUGAUUGUCGUUUUCUACUAGCAAUGGUGGUGCUGAGAUGGUUAAGGAGCAGAGCAGAGCAGCGGGAGACACGCAAAAUCGGGAGAGCUAGGAAGCGAAGAGAGAGAGAGAGAGAGAAAGAGGCGUGUAAUCGAUUUCUAAGAGGAGAAGAGCAGCGGGAGAGGGUUUUGUCUUUUGGGAGAGAUGAUGUUAUGUUAUGUCCUGAUAUGUCGAAUU